UGUUGUUUUCUUUCUUUCUUGUCUCUAGUUUGUGCUGUAUUUUAUUCUUUGUGUUUGAGUGGAUGCGUUUGAGUUUGCUUAGAGUUUUUGUGCUCUGUUUGAGUUUUGUUGCGUUUUUUGUGUGUUUUGAGUUUGAGUGCAUUGUGUUUGUUGUGUUUGUUGUGUCUGUGAACGUGUGUGUUUCUAGAACUUAUGCAUGACAGAAUAUACAUGAGAAUAGAGGGAGAGAUAUCUGACCUCUCAUAUGCUUUUGGCUAUAAAAAUCACCUCCGAAAAUUUUGUUCUCUGGACCUCAAAGAUACCUACAUAAAGCAGAAUACACGACUCUCAUUUGCUUUUGCUUCUUGAACCA